rnacentral:rRNA from 1 species
GAACUCCUACGGGAGGCAGCAGUGAGGAAUAUUGGUCAAUGGACGAGAGUCUGAACCAGCCAAGUAGCGUGCAGGAUGACGGCCCUAUGGGUUAGUAAACUGCUUUUAUAAGGGAAUAAAAGUGAGUCUCGUGAGACUUUUUGCAUGUACCUUAUGAAUAAGGACCGGCUAAUUCCGUGC